UACGUAGGGCGCAAGCGUUGUCCGGAAUUAUUGGGCGUAAAGAGCUCGUAGGCGGCUUGUCACGUCGGUUGUGAAAGCCCGGGGCUCAACCUCGGGUCUGCAGUGGGUACGGGCAGACUGGAGUGCGGUAGGGGAGAAUGGAAUUCCUGGUGUAGCGGUGGAAUGCGCAGAUAUCAGGAGGAACACCGAUGGCGAAGGCAGUUCUCUGGGCCGUAACUGACGCUGAGGAGCGAAAGCGUGGGGAGCGAACAGG
rnacentral:rRNA from 1 species